rnacentral:rRNA from 1 species
AUUGAACGCUGGCGGCAGGCCUAACACAUGCAAGUCGAGCGGCAGCACUUCGGGUGGCGAGCGGCGAACGGGUGAGUAAUGCAUGGGAAUCUGCCUGAUAGUGGGGGAUAACUCUGGGAAACUAGAGGUAAUACCGCAUACGUCCUACGGGAGAAAGCGGGGGAUCUUCGGACCUCGCGCUAUCAGAGGAGCCCAUGUCCGAUUAGCUAGUUGGUGAGGUAAAGGCUCACCAAGGCGACGAUCGGUAACUGGUCUGAGAGGAUGGUCAGUCACACUGGAACUGAGACACGGUCCAGACUCCUACGGGAGGCAGCAGUGGGGAAUAUUGGACAAUGGGGGCAACCCUGAUCCAGCCAUGCCGCGUGUGUGAAGAAGGCCUUCGGGUUGU